rnacentral:rRNA from 1 species
UGCCAGCCGCCGCGGUAAUACGGAGGGUGCAAGCGUUGUUCGGAAUUAUUGGGCGUAAAGAGCAUGUAGGCGGACUGUUAAGUCUGAUGUGAAAGCCCGGAACUCAACCCCGGAAGUGCAUUGGAUACUAGCAGUCUUGAGUAUGGGAGAGGAAAGUGGAAUUCCGAGUGUAGGAGUGAAAUCCAUAAAUAUUCAAAAAAACACCAAUAACAAAAACAGCUUUCUGGACCAAUACUGACACUAAAAUGCGAAAACGUGGGGAGCGAACAGGAUUAGAUA